UACGAAGGUCCCAAGCGUUGUUCGGAAUUACUGGGCGUAAAGCGCGCGUAGGCGGCUUUGUAAGUCGGUUGUGAAAUCCCCGGGCUUAACCUGGGAACUGCAUCCGAGACUGCAUGGCUAGAGUAUGGGAGAGGGAAGUGGAAUUUCAGGUGUAGCGGUGAAAUGCGUAGAUAUCUGAAGGAACAUCAGUGGCGAAAGCGACUUCCUGGACCAAUACUGACGCUCAUGUGCGAAAGCGUGGGGAGCAAACAGG
rnacentral:rRNA from 1 species